UUUCAUAAUAACGAGCCACGUAACACUCUCAAAGCAUCUUUCCCGCUGACUCAGCUUAAGUCAUUACAACUUGAUGCUCCGAUGAGAAGCCGCUGCUUCUUGGGUUUGGGCUCUUGAAAAUUUCCCAAUCACAAGAACAAGGUAAGCAACAUCAUAUCUUUACGUUUUGCAAAUUUGUUGCUGUUUUUCCUUCACUAGUUUUUGCUUGGUUACACACUAAGGUUUCUUGAUUUAAAAUGACCCAUUAACAAGAGGGAUUGAAGAAGAUUGAAUUUUUGGGUGCUAUCGCUUCCUCUUUAAUUUAGAUAGAGACUGAAAUUGAGAUAGUCAUGAAUUAUUGAUCUGUUUUUUGUUUCUUUUAAUUACCAUUUGAAUGUAAUAAUAUGGUAAUGGACGUUGAUGAAGGAAGAAUUAUUUUGUUUAGUGGUAACCAUCGUGUGCUUUGGGUAUUAGGAGAGGACAGAUAAAAAUAAUACUAGGCUAAUCUAGAUGGAUUGAUUGAUUUGAACUUGCAUGAUAAUCUGAUCCGUUAAAUAAUCAUAUGUUAGUUAGUUAUACCUAUCUAUCAUAUCACACAAAGUAAACGCUUGAAAUUUGUAUAGUUAUCUUCAUUUUGUUGUUGUUGCUGUUUGUGGGUCGACUGAGAUGUUCUGAGAGUUGAAGUGAAGCGUAGCCACAAUUAUUUUGUGUGUAGAUGCUUGUCAUUUUUAUUACUAAAAUGGGAGGUGAAAAUGAUUGGUCGCUCCACUUGGAUAUAUACCCUGUAUACAUAAGUUUAAGAAUUGACAUACUUUUUUCAUCUUCCUUUUGCUGGAAAAGCAUUAGCAUUCAAAGGAGACAACUGCAAGUACAUCAACUACCUGCAAUUUGCAUCUCCUUUGCCGUUAUCCCCUUUGAAGAAGGCAAAUUUGCAGUGGGUAAGUUAGAAUCUGUGUUUUAAAGAAUUACCAACAACAUAUACACGAUGAGUUUGAUGUAUGUGUCUUCUUCAGGCUUGCUGGGUUCGGUAGCAAACAUCAUUUUCCUAAUAUACGUACUCACUAUUAAUUGUUGUCAGUCAUUCAUUCGCAUCAGCCUCAGCACCACACUUCCAAAUUAACUAUCUUAAUCUUUUCGAUUUAACUCUUUUAUUUUAUCUUAAGCAGUGAUGCCAGAAUUCUGUAGCACUUCUGUUGUUGUAUGUCUUUGUUUUCUUCCCUUUUCUGUUUAUAUAUGGAUUGACAACUGCAUUUCAUUGAUCAUGAUUUGGCUUAUGUUAAUUGAAUCAAUAGAUUGCCUCCGGAAGGACGCUGUAUCUCCACCUCAUUUUGAUGCUGUCAAUUUUGGCAUUAUUCAUCAUCAGGAAACCAAUGGAAGAAAACAAGUUGGAGAAUUUUAACACAACAUAUAUAUAAUGGAGAUGUUAGCAUAUUGUGUUCCACUACAACUACAACAACCCUCAUUUCUUGCCUUAUAUUUUCAUCUAUACCUUCGAAUUUCGAUUUUAAAGCCCCUCGUGUAAAUCCUUGUUUUCGAAUCAAUUUUUUUUAAAAACAAUUUCAAGAAUUGUAUGCCAUAUAGGAA
rnacentral:lncRNA from 1 species